CAAUAGCGUAUAUUAAAGUUGUUGCAGUUAAAAAGCUCGUAGUUGGAUUUCUGGGAGGGUGCCAAUGUCCGUCGUCGUACGUGUUGCAGCGGCGCCCUUCCAUCCUUCUGUUAACGACUUUGGGCAUUCAUUUGCCGGAGUCGGGCUCAGAUAUUUUACCUUGAGAAAAUUAGAGUGUUUCAGGCAGGCUAGGCCGGAAUACAUUAGCAUGGAAUAAUGGAAUAGGACUACGGUCUCUUUGUUGGUUUCGAACACCGGAGUAAUGAUUAAAAGGGGCAGUCAGGGGCACUCGUAUUCCGUCGAGAGAGGUGAAAUUCUCAGACCAAUGGAAGACGAACCACUGCGAAAGCAUUUGCCAGGGAUGUUUUCACUGAUCAAGAACGAAAGUUAGGGGAUCGAAGACGAUCAGAUACCAU
rnacentral:rRNA from 1 species